UUCUUUUAUCUAAAAAUACUCCUUAAGACAUCUAAAGAAAUACUAAAUUCCUUACCGAAACCUUGAUAUUUUCUCCUUCACUGUUCUCCUUUUCUUUCUCUCCUUCUCUCUCUAGAUCACUCUUUCACUCCUUCUUUCUCUCUAAUUCUUGAAAAAUGGAAGAAUCAAAGUGUGGGGAAGAAUGGGAAGGGAAGACCUAUUUAUAGAAAUUAAGAAUCAUCUAAUUUGCACCAACUGGCAUAAUUUGAUGAAGAGAGAGAAGAAAAAGAUACUCAGCACUAAAAAUGAGGGAGAAAAGUCUCCUCUGCUAGCGGUGGUCAUGCGCCACCUAAGGCAAUGGUAGUGCAAUGCCCGAGGCGGCGGUGGCCCACCCGGCGUGCUGCAGGCUAGUCUGUAGGCGCAUAGGCUUCCUGUUGUGCGUGCAGGCCCCAGGUGCACAGGGGCUUAUUCUCGCAGGCCUACUGCGCGGACUGCACACGCACAGUGUGCGGCAUCCGUCCAUGUGCAAGGUGACAUGCGAACGACCCGCCU
rnacentral:lncRNA from 1 species